AAAAAGACAAACCCUGGGUUUCCGUGUCCAACUUUGACUGUCCGUUUUAUAUGAAAUUUUUUUAUAAUUCGUAUUUUUAUUGAUGUUAGAUGAUAAAACAUGAUUAAUACUUUGUGCGUGACUUGUCUUUUUUAUUUUUUUCAUAACUUUUUCAAAUAAGACGGACGGUCAAAUGUUGGGCACGGAAACU
rnacentral:pre_miRNA from 1 species